CUAUAUUUUUAGCAAAGUACUAUAAUUGAAUAAUAACACUGAAACUACACUUUACUAUACAGAGUCUAUAUAAUCGUAUCGUUUAAAUUUCCACUACUAAAAACAAAAUUGUUGGAUAUGUGAUAUUCCAGACAACCUGCUCAUGAUGUGUCAUAGGUAAUACAAAAAGAUUGAAGAAUUUUACAUUUUACAUUUUUAGACUCUGAGCGGAGCGAGGAAUGUAUU